AGAGACAGCAGCCGCCGCGGGAAUACGUAGGUGGCGAGCGUUGUUCGGAAUUAUUGGGCGUAAAGGGAGCGCAGGCGGACAUAUAAGCCCAUCUUAAAAGUGCGGGGCUCAACCCCGUGAGGGGAUGGAAACUGCUGAUCUAGAGUAUCGGAGAGGAAAGUGGAAUUCCUAGUGUAGCGGUGAAAUGCGUAGAUAUUAGGAAGAACACCAGUGGCGAAGGCGACUUUCUGGACGAAAACUGACGCUGAGGCGCGAAAGCCAGGGGAGCGAACAGGAUUAGAUACCCCCGUAGUCCCUGUCUCUUAUACA
rnacentral:rRNA from 1 species